UAAUACAUGCAAGUCGAGCGGACAGAAGGGAGCUUGCUCCCGGAUGUUAGCGGCGGACGGGUGAGUAACACGUGGGUAACCUGCCUGUAAGACUGGGAUAACUCCGGGAAACCGGAGCUAAUACCGGAUAGUUCCUUGAACCGCAUGGUUCAAGGAUGAAAGACGGUUUCGGCUGUCACUUACAGAUGGACCCGCGGCGCAUUAGCUAGUUGGUGGGGUAAUGGCUCACCAAGGCGACGAUGCGUAGCCGACCUGAGAGGGUGAUCGGCCACACUGGGACUGAGACACGGCCCAGACUCUACGGGAGGCAGCAGUAGGGAAUCUUCCGCAAUGGACGAAAGUCUGACGGAGCAACGCCGCGUGAGUGAUGAAGGUUUUCGGAUCGUAAAGCUCUGUUGUUAGGGAAGAACAAGUGCGAGAGUAACUGCUCGCACCUUGACGGUACCUAACCAGAAAGCCACGGCUAACUACGUGCCAGCAGCCGCGGUAAUACGUAGGUGGCAAGCGUUGUCCGGAAUUAUUGGGCGUAAAGGGCUCGCAGGCGGUUUCUUAAGUCUGAUGUGAAAGCCCCCGGCUCAACCGGGGAGGGUCAUUGGAAACUGGGAAACUUGAGUGCAGAAGAGGAGAGUGGAAUUCCACGUGUAGCGGUGAAAUGCGUAGAGAUGUGGAGGAACACCAGUGGCGAAGGCGACUCUCUGGUCUGUAACUGACGCUGAGGAGCGAAAGCGUGGGGAGCGAACAGGAUUAGAUACCCUGGUAGUCCACGCCGUAAACGAUGAGUGCUAAGUGUUAGGGGGUUUCCGCCCCUUAGUGCUGCAGCUAACGCAUUAAGCACUCCGCCUGGGGAGUACGGUCGCAAGACUGAAACUCAAAGGAAUUGACGGGGGCCCGCACAAGCGGUGGAGCAUGUGGUUUAAUUCGAAGCAACGCGAAGAACCUUACCAGGUCUUGACAUCCUCUGACAACCCUAGAGAUAGGGCUUUCCCUUCGGGGACAGAGUGACAGGUGGUGCAUGGUUGUCGUCAGCUCGUGUCGUGAGAUGUUGGGUUAAGUCCCGCAACGAGCGCAACCCUUGAUCUUAGUUGCCAGCAUUCAGUUGGGCACUCUAAGGUGACUGCCGGUGACAAACCGGAGGAAGGUGGGGAUGACGUCAAAUCAUCAUGCCCCUUAUGACCUGGGCUACACACGUGCUACAAUGGACAGAACAAAGGGCUGCAAGACCGCAAGGUUUAGCCAAUCCCAUAAAUCUGUUCUCAGUUCGGAUCGCAGUCUGCAACUCGACUGCGUGAAGCUGGAAUCGCUAGUAAUCGCGGAUCAGCAUGCCGCGGUGAAUACGUUCCCGGGCCUUGUACACACCGCCCGUCACACCACGAGAGUUUGCAACACCCGAAGUCGGUGAGGUAACCUUUAUGGAGCCAGCC
rnacentral:rRNA from 1 species